rnacentral:rRNA from 1 species
AGCGAACGCUGGCGGCAGGCCUAAUACAUGCAAGUCGAACGGCUCUUCGGAGCAGUGGCGGACGGGUGAGUAACGCGUGGGAAUGUGCCCUUUGGUACGGAACAACACAGGGAAACUUGUGCUAAUACCGUAUGUGCCCUUCGGGGGAAAGAUUUAUCGCCAUUCAAGCAGCCCGCGUUGGAUUAGGUAGUUGGUGAGGUAAAGGCUCAACAAGCCUACGAUCCAUAGCUGGUCUGAGAGGAUGACCAGCCACACUGGGACUGAGACACGGCCCAGACUCCUCCGGGAGGCAGCAGUAGGGAAUCUUGCGCAAUGGGCGAAAGCCUGACGCAGCCAUGCCGCGUGUAUGAUGAAGGUCUUAGGAUUGUAAAAUACUUUCACCGGGGAAGAUAAUGACGGUACCCGGAGAAGAAGCCCCGGCUAACUUCGUGCCAGCCGCCGCCGUAAAAC